rnacentral:hammerhead_ribozyme from 1 species
AUUCAGUUGACGAGACCUAAAUAGGAUGAAACACGUGUCCUGUAU